AAAGCUUCUUUGCUUGUAGAAGAUUGUUUGCGGGUUUGAUUUUAUUUUGAAUUAGUAAUUCUAUUUUGUUUUAUUUUUCUUUUUUUCAAGGUUUUAUUGUAGCACCCAAAAAUUUCUUUUGCAGAACUUCUGGCAAAGGUGGUUUAGAAGCUGAAAGUAAACGAGAGCCUCACACACCUGUCAUGGAGCUUCCUCGCCCGCAACGACUCAUGUUUAAUAUUACACCAGAGAUUAAGCAAGAAAUUGAGGAUGCCAAAGUAUCAUUACAGAGCUUGGUAGAUGAUCUUGAGAUGACAUGCUUCAACUUCACCGGAUUUGGCAAGAAUUUUAUAAAAUCACAAAAAUUAAGUCCGGACAGCUUCCUGCAGAUGGCCAUUCAGCUAGCAUUUUACAGGUAUGCCAUCAAUUAUUUCU